rnacentral:lncRNA from 1 species
GAGUAAACAAUAAAAUUCUUUAAAGGGUAAAGUUGGUAUUUUGACAGUGUACAAACUCGCGGAUCUUGGACCUUCUGGGUUGGAUUUUGGGCUAAUGGGGGUGGAUACACACGUGGAUCAUGUGGAUCCUGGGGUCGAUUUUUUCGGUUGGGAAUUUAGGAAUGUUGUUAUUCGACAUUUCCUAAAAUUAGUACAAAAAUUAAUGCUUAAACCAAAAAUGUUAGUAUCAAUUACUCUAUAAAAUAAAUAAAUAAUUAAUCAAUUAAAACAUAGAUAAUAAGGAAAUGAUAAUCAAAUAUUUCACCCUAAUUAUUUGUACUUGCCAUAACUACUUGACAAGUAAAAGAUUAAUUCGAAUUUCAAAUCAAAUCUCAUAUAUUAAGAACUUACUAAAACUACUAAAUCAAAACAGUAAACAAAAUCUUAAGCAUAAAAAACAAAUUGAAUAUUUCCUAAAAAAUUAUACCAAUUACUAAAAUUUCAAAUCCUAGCAAUAAUGUUAACCACGUAAUUCAAGGUUUGUAUACUUGAAAAUGUUAAUUUCAAUCAUUUUUUAUAAAUUUGCUAAUAUAUUUAUAUCACUAAUUGUAUUUAAAAUCAAUAAUAAAUAGCUCUAAUUCUAAACUCAUUUUUUCAAAGUCUUACUAACUUAUUUCCUUAUUUGUUCCUAUCUAUUUAAUAGUAGUAUAAUCUACAACCUGAUAUCAAGGAUUAUCAAAUCAUCAACAAAGAAAAUCUAUAUUUCCCAAACAAACGUUUGUAUAUAGACAUUCUCUUAAUAUUAUACACGGAAUCUCAAGAGCAUAUUCCAAUACUGAAACUAAAUUUUACGUAACUAGCAAGAUUGUAUAAGAUUUAUUGUUUUAAAACCUAUAAAAUUAUUUAUGAAUUCGCCGACUUCUUUUUAGUAUAAAUAUUGUAGUGAUCUAUAUCAUUUCCAAUUCACCGAAACCUCUUAAAUCUCUUUUAUUCCAAAAUCGAAACAUACACACAAAAGAGAAAAAAUAUUGAGUGACUACAAAGUGUCAAAGAUAAAAUGUAAACCAGAAAAACAACUUCUCUACUUUUUUUGUUUUGUUUAUUAUUCACAAUGUAAUUCUGGUAUAUGGUUUUUUUUUUUUUUUUUUUUUGUAUGAACAUAUGGUUCUUCUUAUUCCAGGUUAGAUGGAAACCUGAAUGUUAAGAGAAGCGUGUGAUGGUGUGUAUCAAAAGUUGUUGGAACUUUGCAUCCAUUUUCGUUUGAACUUUCUUAAAAAUCUUAUGCUUUUGUUUUGUCUUUACUAUUUUCCUGACAUGAUACAUAUUUAUUGUGUUUAAUUGAGGAUAUUGAAACAACUACAUUGUCGUAGUUAUAUUAGAAAGUCAUUCAUGAUACUCAAGUUAUGUGAAGUUUCCUUGGUUUGUUUCACUUAUACCCCUGAGUUAUAGUAAUGAACUUAAAUUCUAUAUAAGAAAAUUGACAAUAUUUGAUUCUAUGAAGUAAAAUAAGGUUAAGGUAUCAUCUAUAUGUGGUAAAAGAAACUUACUAACCUUUGUUUCUAGACUUCCUUCACGGAAAUUAAUAUCAAGCAGCAUUCUUCCCUAUCACAAGAAAACAAUGGUGAGUCAAAUCAAAUUUCCUAAAUGGAAAGAAAAUUUUAACACCAUGAACGUGAAUCAUCCAUCAUGAAUAUCAAAAAGAGUAUGACAAGGGAAAAUAAAGCAUCAUAUUUUGACAAAAAUGGCAUGAGCUUGCAUAUAUUUAAUGGGUGUGUCUGAUAUCCCAUUUUACGAGAUGGUUUAGCUCCUGCAAACAAAGGUAAAUGGAUAAUAACAUAAUUGUUACAGAGCCAAAAAUGUUAUGGAUUGGAUAUGUUAAGAGGGUCUGGUUAUAUAGGUAUCAAAAAUUAGCCACAGGACAGUAACUGCAAACUUUAUUUCGGCUAAUCGAAUCUGAAGGUAAUGGCAUAUACAAAUUCACAUGAAACAUGAACCAAUCUUACAAAUGAACUUUUUUCUACACUAGACGAAUUCAUACAGACUUGUGGUCAGUACUUAAGAUCUUAUUCAAGAGUGAUGAUUAAUUGAUGAAAUCCUAAUUAAACCCAAUUGAUAAAGAUCUAAAAUUUCUAAAGAACAGAACAAAUUCAACACUGGAUUUUAGGAACAAGGUAUCAUUGUAAUGGAACAUGCAUUGAAUUAUCUUUGAAGGAGGAAAUUUUAAACCUUAUCCAUGAUUGAAGGAGCGAGCCAUUUGUAACCAGCGAGACCCAAAGCAGUUAGAAUCGCGAAGAAAAGACCAAGCUUGAACAUAACCACACAGAUCUAUCCCGUCCACAAGAAGAAGAAGAAGACGGUGAUAAUGAAUCUUCUUCCUCUUCAUGAUCUGCUUCUUGAGAAAUACUUCGAAGUCCACACUCCACACUGAGUUUAAUAUAAUGGCCUAAUUUCUGAACUACAUCAUCUUCCACUCUAACUCGCAGUUCUGAAACCGCAUUGUCUUCCUCGCGAUAGGUGAGUAAGCAAAUGAUUUACUCUAUUAAUCGAAAGAACCCUAAGAAUGAAAGAAUUAAAAAAAAAAAAUAAGAUUUGUGUGUUUUGUGAAAGAGAACGAAUUGCAGUACCAAUUUUUUUUUUUUUGGUGUCUGUUGUAAAUUGAUCUUCUGCUUAGUACUGCAUAAGAGAAGAAAAAACGUCUAGAAAGUCUUUAUCUCUCAAACGAAAAGCCCAAAAAGUGAAGGUGAAGAGAAUGUGAAGAAGAAGAUGGAGAAUACCAUUGAUUAAGCAAGAAGAAGAAAAAAAAAGUGUUCGAUGAGAAGAAGAGGAGCUACAGGGAGAAGAAACGUGACGUUAGUCAUUUAACAAAAAAAAUGCUUUUGGGCCAAUA